CGAUAAUGAAACUUGAACUUGAAUCAAAUUGUGAUACAAAGGCUUCAGUACGAAACAGUACAGAACUGCUCAGCUGUGACUGACAGAGGCAUGCAUCAUUUAUAAAAACAAACUUUUAAAAAUUGUUUUACACAGUGAACACAGCGUUAGACAGAGGACAAAGACUAAAGAAGUGAAAACAGGCAGAUUUAUUGAAGAUACACAAUAAAGCUGAGUGCUUUCUUUUUCUUUGUAUUUCUUUUUUAACCGUACUAUGACUCUACCCUCGAGAGCAACAGCAAUGUGUGGUAAAUAACUUGUUAUAAAAUUUUUUUGUUAUUGUAGUAGCACUUUUCCUCAUUCUUUUAUCAAUUAAGUACCAGGCAAGGUUAUCUGCAAAUGCACGUGGUAUUUGGGCCAAAGUUGUGGGCAGCAGUGCUUUUGCUGGCCUACUCUGCUUUUUAAUACACAGUAAUUUUGGUUAAAAAAAAAAAAAAAGUGUGGCAUACAGUACAGAAAAACCCCAGUGGUGUGGAUACAGAUAAAUAGCCUUGAGAUGAGAAAGUAUUAAAUUGCUCCCAUGGUAGAGGUAGCAAGAAGAAUUGGAUGGAUUUUCUUGUGCAUGUGUUAUUAAGGGAGCAUUUAUAAAAUCAUUUUGAGGUUAAGUGCACAUCAGCUUUAAAAAAAAAAAAAAAAAAAAGGGAUACUAGCCCUUAGGAAGACUGGGGGUUUUAAUUCCCAUGCAGCACCUAUAAAAAUGGAAAGAGAGAAACAUACAGAAAUAACAUGCAUGUGCAUAAGCAGGUUACAUGGAAUUUCUAACCUAUACGAACACUGCAGAGGCGACAGAAUCUGGUGACAGAAUCAGAUGAAACCAAAGCAGUCAAGAGUGCAACCGAUGCUCUGUCACUCCCACUCUGUUCCGUCUCCUUUCUUCCCCCUUCCUUGCUCCUUUUGACAUUUCGUCACAACAGUGCACCAUCUUUAAUAGCAGAAGUGCUACCGAACAGUUUUUUCACAAAUACCGAACCGCGUGAAUGUCAAAAUGGAAGAUUUCACCUGAGGCUGGUGCCCUGUACUUACAGAGGACCUACCAGCAGCAGUCAGUGACAUGGAAUGAUCUGUAAAUGGGUGGAGAGCAGUGAGUAUCAAGAGGUAUGCUUGUGAAGUGCAGAGGCAGGGCUGAGAUAAAAUGCAGGACAAUUUGAGAGCUCUUAAAUCCAGGCUGAUAAAUGUCUGAUUCAUCGCAGUGUGUGUAAGUACAUGUGUGUGUCAUUGCCUCUUUCUCCUCGUUUCAAGAAUGAAUGAACAAAGACACGUGCUCCUUUUUAAACAACACUUUUUUUGUUGUUGUUGCUUUUUCAUUGAGGUCCCGUGCAUCAGGUGACACGGCUCUCUCGUACGUGUGUUGUGUCCACGCAUGUAUGUCUGUUGGUGUGCAUCGUGGACAUGUGAGGUGGGAUGCAUGGUGAUGGAUUAGGGCUGGAACUAAUGUGCUCGUCCACCUGUGAAAUGAGAACCAGGGGAAAGGGGACAGGCGGAGGAGGGCCCCAUCACACUCACAUCAGGCUUCCUGCAGACAUAACUUGACACUUUUUGAUGAUUUGAUGGCAAACACACAAACAAAAGCAUACUUCUUUGCCCUCUACAUUUUCCCUCUUUCUUUUUUUCUUCCUCUAAGAAAGCCGGCACAAAACAGAUCUGAUAGACGCACAAUUCAUAGACUCGCUUGAAGUGCAAGACACGUUUGACCACACUGUCAGAAAAGGAGGCCAUGGAUGAGGGUCUCAGAGGGCCUGGAGCCUAUCCCAGCUACCAUAGGAUGAGAGGCGGGUACACCCUGGACAGUCUACACUGUAAAAAAAAAAAAAAAUCCUGUUGAUUUUACAGAAAAAAUCUGGCAGCUGUGGUUGCCAGAAUAAUUCUGUAGAAAAAACUGUGAACUAGAAACAAGAAUACUUACAAAGCUGUAAAAAUUACAGCUUAAAACCAUUAUAAUUCCCCCCAAAAAUAAAUUUCAAGCCAGUAAAUUCAACAGCCCUUUUAUGUCAAAUUAGCAUGGCCAAACUACUAUUAAACACAUUUUCCCUGUAAGAUUUACAGAAUGUUGCUGCUUAUUGUACACUAAAUCUCAGUUUUGCAGAAAAAUAAAAAUAAAAUACAACAGCA
ensembl:lncRNA